rnacentral:misc_RNA from 1 species
AGCAGCCGCGGUAAUUCCAGCUCCAAUAGCGUAUAUUAAAGUUGUUGCAGUUAAAAAGCUCGUAGUUGAAUUUCGGGAUCAAAGGAUCGGUCAUGCCUUGGUAUGUACUGGUUUUAUUGGUUCUCACCUUCUAAAGAACCAUAAUGUCAUUCAUUUGAUGUUAUGGGGAAUUAGGACUGUUACCUUGAAAAAAUUUAGAGUGUUUAAAGCAGGCUUACGCUUGAAUACAUUAGCAUGGAAUAAUGAAAUAGGACAUCAGAUUCUAUUUUGUUGGUUUCUAGGAUCGAUGUAAUGAUUAAUAGGGAUAGUUGGGGGCAUUAGUAUUCAAUUGUCAGAGGUGAAAUUCUUGGAUUUAUUGAAGACUAACUACUGCGAAAGCAUUUGCCAAGGAUGUUUUCAUUAAUCAAGAACGAAAGUUAGGGGAUCGAAGACGAUCAGAUACCGUCGUAGUCUUAACCAUAAACUAUGCCGACUAGGGAUCGGAUGAUGUUAAUUUUAUAAUGACUCA